rnacentral:rRNA from 1 species
AACGAACGCUGGCGGCAUGCCUAACACAUGCAAGUCGAACGAGACCUUCGGGUCUAGUGGCGCACGGGUGCGUAACGCGUGGGAACCUGCCCUUAGGUUCGGAAUAACUCCCCGAAAGGGGUGCUAAUACCGGAUAAUGUCUUCGGACCAAAGAUUUAUCGCCUUUGGAUGGGCCCGCGUUGGAUUAGCUAGUUGGUAGGGUAAAAGCCUACCAAGGCGACGAUCCAUAGCUGGUCUGAGAGGAUGAUCAGCCACACUGGGACUGAGACACGGCCCAGACACCUACGGGGGGGAGCAGGGGGGAAAAUUGGACAAAGGGGGAAAGCCUAACCCCGAAAGGCCGGGUGAGUGAUGAAGGCCUUGGGGUUGAAAAGCAUUUUUACCCGGGGUGGUAAGAACAGGCCCGGGAAAAAAAACCCGGGCAAACUCGUG